UACGGAGGGUGCAAGCGUUAAUCGGAAUUACUGGGCGUAAAGCGUGCGCAGGCGGUUUUGUAAGUUUGUCGUGAAAUCCCCGGGCUCAACCUGGGAAUGGCGAUGAAGACUGCAAGGCUAGAAUCUGGCAGAGGGGGGUGAGAAUUCCACGUGUGAGCAGUGAAAUGCGUGAGAGAUGUGGAGGAACACCGAUGGCGAAGGCAGCCCCCUGGGU
rnacentral:rRNA from 1 species